UACGGGGGGGGCAAGCGUUGUUCGGAUUUACUGGGCGUAAAGGGAGUGUAGGCGGUUGGCCAAGUCGGAUGUGAAAGCUUCACCACUCAACGGGAAGAGGUCAUCCGAAACUGGUCGGCUAGAGUAGGGUAGAGGCAAGCGGAAUUCCUGGUGUAGCGGUGGAAUGUGUAGAUAUCAGGAAGAACAUCGGUGGCGAAGGCGGCUUGCUGGGCCCUUACUGACGCUGAGACUCGAAAGCGUGGGGAGCAAACGGG
rnacentral:rRNA from 1 species